rnacentral:rRNA from 1 species
UACGUAGGGUGCGAGCGUUGUCCGGAAUUAUUGGGCGUAAAGGGCGCGUAGGCGGCCUUGCAAGUCAAAGGUGAAAUCCCUCGGCUCAACUGAGGAACUGCCUUUGAAACUGCAUGGCUUGAGGCCGGGAGGGGGUAGCGGAAUUCCCAGUGUAGCGGUGAAAUGCGUAGAUAUUGGGAGGAACACCAGUGGCGAAGGCGGCUACCUGGACCGGUUCUGACGCUGAUGCGCGAAAGCGUGGGUAGCAAACAGG